rnacentral:rRNA from 1 species
UACGGGAGGCAGCAGUGGGGAAUAUUGCACAAUGGGCGCAAGCCUGAUGCAGCCAUGCCGCGUGUAUGAAGAAGGCCUUCGGGUUGUAAAGUACUUUCAGUCGUGAGGAGGUGUUAAGGUUAAUAACCUUAGCAAUUGACGUUAGCGACAGAAGAAGCACCGGCUAACUCCGUGCCAGCAGCCGCGGUAAUACGGAGGGUGCGAGCGUUAAUCGGAAUUACUGGGCGUAAAGGGCACGCAGGCGGUUAAUUAAGUUGGAUGUGAAAUCCCCGGGCUUAACCUGGGAAUGGCAUUCAAGCUGGUUAGCUAGAGUCUUGUAGAGGGGGUAGAAUUCCAUGUGUAGCGGUGAAAUGCGUAGAGAUGUGGAGGAAUACCGGUGGCGAAGGCGGCCCCUGGACAAAGACUGACGCUCAUGUGCGAAAGCGUGGGGAGCAAACAGGGAUUAGAUACC